GACGAACGCUGGCGGCGUGCUUAACACAUGCAAGUCGAGCGGUAAGGCCUCUUCGGGGGUACACGAGCGGCGAACGGGUGAGUAACACGUGGGCGACCUGCCCUCAGCUCUGGGAUAAGCCUGGGAAACUGGGUCUAAUACCGGAUAUGACUCCAUGACGCAUGUUGUGGGGUGGAAAGCCUUGUGCGGCUAGGGAUGGGCCCGCGGCCUAUCAGCUUGUUGGUGGGGUGANGGCCUACCAAGGCGACGACGGGUAGCCGGCCUGAGAGGGCGACCGGCCACACUGGGACUGAGACACGGCCCAGACUCCUACGGGAGGCAGCAGUGGGGAAUCUUGCGCAAUGGGCGAAAGCCUGACGCAGCGACGCCGCGUGAGGGAUGACGGCCU
rnacentral:rRNA from 1 species